rnacentral:rRNA from 1 species
AUGGAGAUCGACGACCUCAUCUCCGAGACCCUCCUCCGCCUCCCGCCGGAACCAUCUUCCCUCCCGCGCACCUCCCUCGCCUCCACGCGCUGGCGCGGCCCCUCCCGCGACCCGGCCUUCCUCCGCCGCUUCCGCGCCCACCACCGCCCCCACGCGCCCCUCCUCGGCGGCUUCUUCACCGACUACCCCACCCCCGCGCACCGCAACAACUUCGUCUCCUUCAUCCCGACGCUGGAUGCCCCCAACCGCGUCCGCUUCCCCUUCCCGGUCGCCGACUUCCCAUGCAUACUAUUCAGCUGCCGCCACGGCCUCGUGCUCGCCACCUCCGAGCAUCGGCAAGGGUUCCUGGUUUGUGACCCCGUCACCGGCGACUAG